rnacentral:misc_RNA from 1 species
AACGCACCUUGCGCUCCUUGGUAUUCUGAGGAGCAUGCCUGUUUGAGUGUCAUUUAAUUCUCAAACUUUACCUAGUUUGCAAAAACUAGAUCAGGUUUGGAGUCUGGAAGUUGCUGGCUUUUUUUUAAGCUAGCUCUUCUAAAAUAUAUUAGCAGAAUUAUUGCUACUCAAUAUGGUAUGAUAAUUAUCUAUACCGUUGAAAGUAAGCUUUCUGAUUUUGCUUCUAAUUGUCUACCAAGACAACCUUGAUACCUUUGACCUCAAAUCAGGUAGGACUACCCGCUGAACUUAA